UCCUUCUUGGUGUAGUUGGAAACGUUUUAGUUUCACAACCAAAAUAGGUCAUGGGUUCGAAUCCCGACACGGAA
rnacentral:tRNA from 1 species